rnacentral:misc_RNA from 1 species
GCAUAUCACCUCAAGUUAUGAUCUUCAUUACAGGUAUUUAACGUUAUGUUAGUAUAAAGUUUCGACAUGACCCUGCAUUCCAAGCCAACUGAAAAAAUAAUUAUAAUAAUAGAACUCAAAUCUGCUUUCUGUAAACCAAUCCCUGUUUGCAACCUCUACAAGCUAAUUGAUUGCGGCAUAGAACAUGGUCCCAAAAUGUAUAAGGUGAUAUGCAAAUCUACACACGAUGAUCAGACUGAGCUCAGUCCCACCUCAAAAUGAGUACUCUUUUAAAUCUGCUUUUGAGUCAUCCAGGUCCACAUCUGCUAAGCACUCUUCCGCUGUGAGAGGUGGGAGUUGCUUGGUCUUGCGCUUCAAAUUAUGUUUGUGCCACUCACUCUUAAAGUGAUCCCUGUACUGUUUGGCAUCCCCAACAAAUGCAUUGCAUGUGUUGCACUUGUGUUGCUUUGCCUCCCCCUCAGUAUUCUUUUCCGUAGAGACUGUCUGCUUUUGCAAUUUCUCACUCAGUUGGACCACAGAAUCAGUAGACUCCUUAGGUAGGCUUGAUGGCACAUCUUCAUGAUCAUCGUAAUCAUCUACACUGGUGUCCCCUUCAAAAUGCACAGACAUUGCAAGAAUUUCCAGCCUGCCCUGCAGAUUCCUCACCAUGACAUCACACUCCCGAAAGAAGCCUGGGUCUAAUUCACAAAUAACAGAGAGCUGACUUCCAGAUUCAUCCUUUGAAACAAUGGUGGCAUACCAAGCAUUUAAACUUUUCUAGAAGAGUAGAAAGAUUUGGUUUGGCAAUAAUAAGUCGCAAUCUCAUUGGAGAACGCUUUAUUGGGAAGUGCUUUUGAAGCUCACGAAUAACUUCUAGUGCCUGCUUCUUGGAGCUGCUAUGUGGAUCAACAGCAAAGUGAAUUUCAUGCAUGAGUCGCUCAAUCAUGCUAAUAGUGUAAGGGCGUUGAGUUUCAGCAUUAAUUGUUUUCUGCAUAACAAUGGUUGCUAUAUCCCGAAACUGACUGGAUAACUGAGAUUCCCUCUCUUUCCCAGCAACUUGGAGCUCACCUUUCUCCAAUAUCUCAAGACAUAUUUUGGUCUGAUCAUCGGUUUUAAAGGCUAACAUUAAAUCCUUGGACUUUGCAAGAAUUCCUUUGGAAACAUUUGAAUAAACGGUAUGUGACUGCAACACUUCAUCCAAAUCUUUCUCUACGCCAGAGCGCCAAGAGAGGACCUUGUUCUUGUAGCAAGCAAUCUCGAAGCGAAUACCAUGCUUCUUUAAUCGAACCACCGCCACGUUCGUUAGCCUCUUUUGCCCUAUCGGCUGCUGCAGCACUUUCGACAUUUCUAUUGGCUGGCUAUCGUCUAUUGGUUGGUUGGUGUAUUCUCCGAUCUUCUCUUCUUUAACUUCAAUGCGUUGAGGCACCGCCUCAAGAGUCUUCUCUUCC